AAUUAGGGUCCCCAAUUUCGUUAAUAAAAAAAAUUACUGUCUUUUUUUCUUUUCCAAUCGAGGACUUCUCCGCAGGAUCUCUGUUUCUGGGAAGAUCAAGCUGAAUCUGUGUCGGCCAUGGAGAAAGACAAGGAAGCAUCAACUGAUCCUGGGACCGCCGAUGAUAACGAAGAGACAGAAUCUACAGAGAUCGUUCUCUUCCAAGUGUCCGAAUGCUGUGUUUACUUGGUAAGAUUUCUCUCUUUGCGUUUGCUUUGAGUUUUCUCGUUCAAAUGGGUAUGUUGAGUUAUUGCUGGAUUCUGUCUUUCCGCGAAAGCUCCAAACCUUUCUGGGCGGAUUUAUAGGAGGGUUUUUGGAUCGGGUAGUUGGUUUUAGUUCACUUAAUCUGGUAUUAGAAAACUGCGGUUUUUCCAUGGAGGAAAUUAUCUUAAUCUAUGAUUGUCAAGUUUUUUUGGGUUAACGGAGAACCAAAGAACAGACUAAUCUUGGGGUGGUGCCAGCCGCCGUUUGAUUUGGAAUAUACGUCUCCUUCUCAAAUUUGAGGGUUUAAACUCGAGUCGUGGUAGAAACUUUGCACCCAUUUUAGCGGUUGAACUAUCUAAGUUUGGGUCUGUGCUUGUCAAGUUCCUUUCCGGGUUCAUGAAAUUGGUGAAUUGAUGGAUGAUCCGGCAGAUAAGUUUUCAAGUAGCCUUCUGCUAUUAGAUCGCAGAGGCUCGUGGUGAAGCGUGUUUGGUUGUUUUGAAGGCCUAAGGUUCUGUCUUUAAGCAUGACUGGUCCAGUUGUGAAUUAAGUGAUGUCUUCUGAUCAGGGAUGUUUGGUCGUCUAGUGUUAUUAUACUUGCCCUUUUUCAGUCAAGAACUCCACUAACUCAUGUGUCAAACCAUGGUGGUGAUAACUCCAGAUGGAUGAACUGAGAUUACAGUAUCGUGUUCUUUGGUUAUGGUUCUUCUUGGACAAUAUUGGGUGGGUUCUCUUCUACUAACAAGUUAAGAUAAUCGUUGAAAUCGGUACUUUGCUGUUCAUUCACUUGAAGUCAUUGGAUGUUUUAACAUUAUAUCUUCUGUUAACCCUCCGAAAUUGAUAAUUCGAACCCAUUUUCCAGCGGAAUUGUCUUAGAGUAAUUUGCAAAGCCAGAAGAUGAUGGAGUUGGAGAUUUGGAAGUCAUGUUGAAUCUUGUGUUAUGUCUGAUAGGCAUUUCUUUGCCAUCUGUGCAGAUACCUCCAAGAAAAAGCGCAGAUUCUUACAGCUUAUUUCUUCUCUUCGUGAGAACAAUGUCUAAUGCGUAGGAUUCUCUUUCCCAAUGCUGUAGAUUCUUAAUGGAUUUUCCCAUACUGUAGCGGAUCUUCCUUUGUACUGAAACCCUUCAGAAUAGUGGACUGAAUGAUGAAAACCUGGAAGAAAAUCUUGGAAGCCAAUCCGACAUUGCGAGUAAUGAGUCCAUGUGUGGGGCUCUGCCGAUGUACACCGGCUCUCUUACAGGGCCGACGAGUGGGACGUGAAUAAAUGGGCAUGGGAAGGGGCACUGAAAGUGAUCAGCAACGGAGAAGAAUGCAUAAUCAGACUUGUAGAUAAAACCACCGGUGAACUCUACGCUCAGGUGUUCUUGAGAGAUGGCGAACCACAUCCCGUGGAACCUGUGAUCGACAAUAGCAGAUAUUUUGUUCUUCGCGUUGAAGAAGAAAUAGGUGGUCGUGUCGGGAUGCUUUUAUUGGAAUUGGGUUUCGAGAAAGAACAGAAGCUUACGACUUCCAAGCCGCACUUCAUGACCAUAUGAAGUAAUGUUCCGGUUCCGAAACCCCCAGCUGUUUCUUGUUUUGUAACAUUGACAUUCUUUCAAAUGAGCUUGUCUGCUUGAAAAAGCCGAGGCAACUAAAUGGAUCGACAUCCGGUCUAUACUAAUGUUACUUGAACAAGAAGAAAACAGCGGAAGAGAUGGAAGAACAGUUUCAGAGCACCUCAGCUGAUGACAGCUUAAAGGAGGGAGAGACCAUCGUUCUCCAACUCAAAAACCGUCAUAGAGAGGCAACGGGGACACGAAGUCGAAAAUACUCGAGAAGGGUCUGAGCAAUCUGGCCCGGGAAGAAAAGGGCAAGUCUAUAGGGACGGCUGUCUCUAUUAUUCAGCCGCCGCCACCUCCAGGACCCUUUCCCCACGGCGGCCACGACGGUUCAGAUCUCUCCGUCAAGUAAACAGCCAAAUCUCAGCCUCAAACGGUCAUCAGAAGAACAUAAUUCUCAGACAAAAGGACAAAAAGAGAGAGAACGGAAUCAAGCCGAGGAACAGAGAACAGAAGAUGCUCCAGAAGAUGACUUUGGGGACUUUCAAGCAGCAGCUGUGUAAUGAAAACAGACCCGAACCCACAAAAAAAAAUUAUAAUACUCAGCUACUAUACGUCAGAUAUGGGAGAGGGAGAUAAAGAUCCACGUAAGGUAGAAAAUAAUGGUGCCGGCUUCAAAUGGAUGAAGCAUGGGGAGUUAGAUAUGGUAGGGACAAUAUAUAUACACAUACACUGGUACGGAAAACAGGUUGUAUCAUCAUACAAUCAUCACAUUUAUUUUUGAAUUUUUGGUGUCA